GUCCUUACUAAUGCUAAAUAAUGCUUUGCUUUCAUUUAUUUGCAUCUUACCCUCUUCCGUGAGUGUUGAUACUGUCUUAAACAUAGUAGGGGUUGAGUAGAUAUUUGCUGGUUGCCCCUUCACUUGCAAGGGAUACAUACAAAUGUUGGUUUGUAUUGGAUAAUGAAUGUGAUGUUUUUAAGAGUAAUAUGUGAUUUUGUUACUUUUUGAAGGCCUUAACAACAUUAACACUAGUAAAAGAAGUAGUAACAUUUAGUCUGUCAGUCACUUGGUAUCGCAUUUAUUUAUUUGCCCUUUUUGGUUCCCAAAGGAAAUCUGAAAUAGAGUACUAUGCUAUGUUGGCUAAAACUGGUGUCCAUCACUACAGUGGCAAUAAUAUUGAACUGGGCACAGCAUGCGGAAAAUACUACAGAGUGUGCACACUGGCUAUCAUUGAUCCAGGUGACUCUGACAUCAUUAGAAGCAUGCCAGAACAGACUGGUGAAAAGUAAACCUUUUCACCUACAAAAUUUCACCUGCAAACCUUAAACCUGCAAAAUUUUCCUUUAAUAAAAUUUGCUUGUUUUAAAAACA
rnacentral:sRNA from 1 species